CUGGGCCCACCUGGAAACAAUUAAUGAAAAACAGGAUGUGUGAAAAGGGGGGGUUCUCCACAUCACCCCAACAUGGCGAGAGGAAAAGGGGCUCAGCUGCCUGGUGGUGAAGCGUGCGGGAGAUGGUCUCUUCCCACCAGGCCCCGCCAGCCCCUCAGGAGGAAAGCUGAGUCAGAGUCUGGGGACUGUAAAGAAAAAAUGGCGACUUGCUGGCCAUUUUCUCACAGCUGAGACUGCGUGGGGACUGCAUGGGGAGCAAAGCUGGGCCUUCUUAGAGAAAUCAGAGCCAGAAGACGCCCAACGUCCUCCUGUGGUGGAUGAGGAAACAGGCUUGGAGAUGUCCCCACGUCUUUGUUGGAGACUUGACCUCUGGGCCCAAAGCUCUUCCCUUUGAGUCAUUCUUCUUAAAGAGCCCAACACAGCACUGAGCACGC